CGGCCACACUGGGACUGAGACACUGCCCAGACUCCUACGGGAGGCUGCAGUCGAGGAUCUUUUGCAAUGCACGAAAGUGUGACAAAGCGACGCUGCGUGGAGGAUGAAGGCUUUCGGGUCGUAAACUCCUGUCAUUCGGGAAAAAUAAGCCGGGUAGUAAUACUGCCUGGAAUUGAUGGUACCGAAAGAGGAAGCCACGGCUAACUCUGUGCCAGCAGCCGCGGUAAUACAGAGGUGGCGAGCGUUGUUCGGAUUUACUGGGCGUAAAGGGUGCGUAGGUGGUUUUGUGUGUCGAAUGUGAAAGCCCACUGCUUAACGGUGGAAGGUCAUUCGAAACUACAGGACUAGAGUACAGGAGAGGAGAGCGGAAUUCUUGGAGUAGCGGUGAAAUGCGUUGAUAUCAAGAAGAACACCGGCGGCGAAGGCGGCUCUAUGGAAUGAUACUGACACUGAGGCACGAAAGCUGGGGGAGCAAACAGGAUUAGAUACCCUGGUAGUCCCAGCCCUAAACGGUGUCAACUUGGUGUCGGCGGUAUUGACCCCGCCGGUGCCGGAGCUAACGCGUUAAGUUGACCGCCUGGGGAGUACGGCCGCAAGGCUAAAACUCAAAGAAAUUGACGGGGGCCCGCACAAGCGGAGGAGCAUGUGGCUUAAUUCGAUGCAACGCGAUAACCUUACCAGGGCUUGACAUGUAACUGCUCAUCCUGUGAAAACAGGACUCUUUCGAAGGUGUUACACAGGUGCUGCAUGGCUGUCGUCAGUUCGUGCCGUGAGGUGUUGGGUUAAGUCCCGCAACGAACGCAACCCCUUUGUUUAGUUGCUACUGGAUUUAUUCAGGCACUCUAGACAUACUGCCCGUACAAAGCGGGAGGAAGGUGGGGACGACGUCAAGUCAGUAUGGCCCUCACGCCCUGGGCUGCACACGUGCUACAAUGGUAGGUACAGAGGGAAGCAAUACCGCGAGGUGGAGCAGAUCCUCAAAACCUGCCCCAGUUCAGAUUGGAGUCUGCAACUCGACUCCAUGAAGUCGGAUUCGCUAGUAAUGCCGUAUCAGCUACGACGGCGUGAAUACGUUCCCGGGCCUUGUACACACCGCCCGUCACAUCAUGAAAGCCGUCUGCACCCGAAGUCGCUGAGCCAACCCGCAAGGGAAGCAGGUGCCGAAGGUGUGGGUGGUGAUUGGGAAAGUCGUAACAAGGUA
rnacentral:rRNA from 1 species